GAUGAACGCUGGCGGCGUGCCUAAUACAUGCAAGUCGAGCGAACGGACGAGAAGCUUGCUUCUCUGAUGUUAGCGGCGGACGGGUGAGUAACACGUGGAUAACCUACCUAUAAGACUGGGAUAACUUCGGGAAACCGGAGCUAUACCGGAUAAUAUUUUGAACCGCAUGGUUCAAAAGUGAAAGACGGUCUUGCUGUCACUUAUAGAUGGAUCCGCGCUGCAUUAGCUAGUUGGUAAGGUAACGGCUUACCAAGGCAACGAUGCAUAGCCGACCUGAGAGGGUGAUCGGCCACACUGGAACUGAGGCACGGUCCAGACUCCUACGGGAGGCAGCAGUAGGGAAUCUUCCGCAAUGGGCGAAAGCCUGACGGAGCAACGCCGCGUGAGUGAUGAAGGUCUUCGGAUCGUAAAACUCUGUUAUUAGGGAAGAACAUAUGUGUAAGUAACUGUGCACAUCUUGACGGUACCUAAUCAGAAAGCCACGGCUAACUACGUG
rnacentral:rRNA from 1 species